rnacentral:rRNA from 1 species
UACAGGGGGUGCAAACGUUGCUCGGAAUCAUUGGGCGUAAAGCGCACGUAGGCGGUUCGUUAUGUCGGAUGUGAAAGCCCUUGGCUUAACCGAGGAAGUGCAUCCGAAACUGGCGAGCUAGAGUACUAAAGAGGAUCGCGGAAUUCCCGGUGUAGAGGUGAAAUUCGUAGAUAUCAAGAGGAACACCUGAGGUGAAGACGGGUUGCUGGGCUGAUACUGACGCUGAGGCGCGAAAGCUAGGGUAGCAAACGGG